AGGGGCCCACGCCCCGCGUCCAAACAACACAUAAUUGCGUGCAAACAUUAUUUGUUAUCCUUUGCUUACGUAAGUUUCUAUGCUCGACGUUCGUGCGCGAAUUACUAAUAAAUUAUUAUGUACCCUUUGAAACCGCGGAUAUUAUUCACAUUAUGCAUAAUUAAAUUGCGAAAUGUUUCAUGCGCGAGAAUUACUGGAAACAAGGUAGAUACAAUAUGUCAAGUGAAAAUCUUCGGGUCUUAUACCUACAGUAACGCAAAUUGUGUGUACAUUUAACUCCUUAGGUUGUAAAGAAGACAGGAUAGAGUGAGAUUAGAUUGAGUAUGAUGCGUGUGAAUACUGUGAACAGAUAAAUGUAUUUAAUAAUAAAAUCAAGUAUACAUAUACUCAUAUCAUUACCU